rnacentral:rRNA from 1 species
CGAGAUGUUAGCGCAUGAACCUUCGGGGGAUUAUGCUAACGGACAGCGGCGGACGGGUGAGCAACGCGUAGGCAACCUGCCCCUGACAGAGGGAUAGCCAUUGGAAACGAUGAUUAAAACCUCAUGACACCGUAGAAGCACAUGCUUCAUCGGUCAAAGAUUUAUCGGUCAGGGAUGGGCCUGCGUCUGAUUAACUAGUUGGUGAGGUAACGGCUCACCAAGGUGACGAUCAGUAGCCGACCUGAGAGAGUGAUCGGCCACAUUGGAACUGAGACACGGUCCAAACUUCUACGGAAGGCAGCAGUAGGGAAUCUUGCACAAUGGGCGAAAGCCUGAUGCAGCAACGCCGCGUGAAGGAUGAAGGCCUUCGGGUUGUAAACUUCUGUUCUAAGGGAAGAAACAAAUGACGGUACCUUAGGAGCAAGCCCCGGCUAACUACGUGCCAGCAGCCGCGGUAAUACGUAGGGGGCAAGCGUUAUCCGGAAUUAUUGGGCGUAAAGAGUGCGUAGGUGGUUACCUAAGCGCAAGGUUUAAUUUAGAGGCUCAACCUCUACUUGCCUUGCGAACUGGGCUACUUGAGUGCAGGAGGGGAAAGCGGAAUUCCUAGUGUAGCGGUGAAAUGCGUAGAUAUUAGGAGGAACACCAGCGGCGAAGGCGGCUUUCUGGACUGUAACUGACACUGAGGCACGAAAGCGUGGGUAGCAAACAGGAUUAGAUAACCUGGUAGUCCACGCCGUAAACGAUGAGCACUAGGUGUUGGGCCCGUUAGGGCUCAGUGCCGCAGUU